AAAAAGGGGGCGAAAUAUGUUUAAUCUUUUCCCUCCAAAAGAAUAAAUAUGAACGUAAAGGAAAUUAAAUGGCAAAAAUAAAGAAAGAGAGACAUAAGGUCGACGUGUAAGAAAAAGAAUGGAAAGAAAGAGCAAAAAGGAAAAGCUCAAUUUUAGGAAAGAGACAUAACUUCCUUGCUUGACUCUCGCUUUUCCGUUACCCAAUCUUCUCCCAUUUCCAAACUAAGAAACAAACACUAAGAUUUCUCUCUUUCCUUGUAUCUUGUUUCUUUUUACUAUGAAUAUGAAUUUCUUUUUGGUUUUUGAUUGAAAAACAGGUGACAUUUUUAUCUGAUCCCUACUUCUUGAAAUUGCAUUAUAAUCUCGUUUUAUUGGACAAUGUUGUCUUACAUUGUUGAUGGGUCUGAAUCUUGAUUCAUAAUUGUACCUUAAUGCAGCUACUUUUUUGAAUUGGUGUUGCUGAUCAACAUUAACGAAUGUUAUUCGCAAUUAAACCAUGACUAAUCGCAAUGCUGAUGCUAAUAAGGUUCCUAAUUCUCAUCUCUCAUUCUGUUUUGUGAUUCUCUCUUUUUAUUUGGGUAUUUUCUUGGUAUUACAUUGUCGUAUUAUUCUUUUGUUUUUUUCUUUAAUUAUAUCAGGUUGAAGGGGUUAAUCAAACACCUCCACCACCUGGGGCCAAUGAUCAUGUUCGUGGCGGAAAUAAGGUU
rnacentral:lncRNA from 1 species